GAUGAACGCUGGCGGCGUGCCUAAUACAUGCAAGUCGAGCGAACGGACGAGAAGCUUGCUUCUCUGACGUUAGCGGCGGACGGGUGAGUAACACGUGGAUAACCUACCUAUAAGACUGGGAUAACUUCGGGAAACCGGAGCUAAUACCGGAUAAUAUAUUGAACCGCAUGGUUCAAAAGUGAAAGACGGUCUUGCUGUCACUUAUAGAUGGAUCCGCGCCGCAUUAGCUAGUUGGUAAGGUAACGGCUUACCAAGGCAACGAUGCCUAGCCGACCUGAGAGGGUGAUCGGCCACACUGGCACUGAGACACGGUCCAGACUCCUACGGGAGGCAGCAGUAGGGAAUCUUCCGCAAUGGGCGAAAGCCUGACGGAGCAACGCCGCGUGAGUGAUGAAGGUCUUCGGAUCGUAAAACUCUGUUAUUAGGGAAGAACAUAUGUGUAAGUAACUAUGCACAUCUUGACGGUACCUAAUCAGAAAGCCACGGCUAACUACGUG
rnacentral:rRNA from 1 species